GCCUGUGUGGUAUAGCGGUUUGAAUGCUGGACUAUGACUCUGGAGACCAGGGUUCAAUUCCUGACUUGGCCA